rnacentral:lncRNA from 1 species
AUGCUGCACCCACUACCUGUAACCCAGAAAAAAAAAAUUAAAUAAAACCCUUACAGUUGAGGUAGUUUUGUGUGAAAAAAAUAUAAAUAAAUAAAUAAAACCCUAAUAGUUGAGGUAGUUUUGUGUAAUUUACCCUAAUAUUUAUUAUCUAGGAUAAAUUUCUAUAUUUAAAAAAACACCAAGGGAUUCGAACCCCUCCCAUUUUACUCCUUCAACACCUUGACCACCAUAUCACUUAUGUUUUUAUGAAAAUAUGCUAAAAUAUUUAUAUAUAUGGUUUUGUUUUGAAUUCUUUUUGCAAGAAACAAAUCUACACAUAGAGAUGAUGAAGAUAGUGAAAAUUUUGAACCUCAUAUGAACUCUAUGUGGUACUAAGUCACUCAAGUAUCUUACCAUGCAAUGUAUAAAGUGUAAAAUAUUGUACUAAUUCAUUAUAUAUAAAUGAGUAUGGUGUUUUAAACUUUUUUCAUUAAUUACUACAUAUUUUCUACACUCACAAUGUUUGCCAGCUCGCUAUAUAAUCAACUUAAAUUAGUUAAAUCCAUCUUGCAAUGCAUUUCCUUCCAAUUUUUUGUGAUAAACUAAUAGAUAAUUGACUAAAUAAACAUCCUGCAAAGUUUCAAUAAAAAUUUCCAAGUUUUUUCUUACAAUUUCCGUGGUUUUUAUUCAAUUUUUAUCGAUAUCGAUAAUAUCCUGAUAUUUCCAUCGAUAUUUCCGUGUUUUUUGGAUUACCGAUAUUUCCUAUAUCAUUGAUAUUUUAUACCUUGUAUAGGACUCACAACAUUUUAGAUCAUCUGAUACAAGAUUAUCAUUGUUUGGUAUGAUUUGACUUGUUAAGAAAAAGAUUGAUAUGCAGGAUUGUGUACCGGUGAUCUUUGAAUGUUGUAUUGUUUAGGAAGACUGCUUUAUCCCAAUUCUUUAUGCUCACAAAUGUUGUAUUUUUAGGAAUAGUACCUUAUCCUUAAUAGUUUAUGCUCACAAAUGUUUAUUAAUCAAAUAUUCAUCAUCUUUAUGAAAUUAGGAAGAUUGAGGACAAGGUUGUGGGUUGAGCUCUCUUCAAUGAUAGCAACAAAAACUUGACGGUGAGUUGAGCAAAAUGGAGUUUUUGGCUCCCAUGGAAUUAUUUAAAGACACCAACUUCUUGGCCAAAGAACAUGAUCUUCUGAGGGUCUUUUUCAACAUGUCUGAUGAAAGGAAGAGUGCAUAUGUGACUACUUUGUUGUAGACUUGGAUGCAUAAUGACAUCUAAGCGAUGGUCCAAAGAAUAUGAAUGCUAGUUUUUUGCUAUGACAUGCUCGUUGCCAUGAUAAUAUAUUAGGGAAAAUUGUGAAUGUUUUGUAAAGCUAAUGAUUGAUUUGAUGACACCAUGAUGGUGAAGAACUACUUUUUGUUGAUAUUAUGAUAUUUAGGCAGGUUAGGAAUAUUUUGUAGACAAUAUGAUGUGUAUGUAGGUUAUGAAUAUUUUGUUGAUAAUAUGAUGCCUAGGCAAGGUAUAACUAGUUUGUUUAGGUUGGUUAUGACGGUUAGAUAUAUGUACUUUGAUGUAAAAUAUUAACUUUAAUGAAGUUAUUUCCUACUCUUUAUUUGUUCCUAAUGUUUUUUCUUCAUUUAUUUACUAUUAUGCAAAAUCCAUCUCGUGAAAAUCUCUUUAGUUUAAGGAGAAUCAAGUUUUUUGAUUUGAAAUGGUAAAAUCAUUCCUUCUACUCAUUGACAUCAUGUAACAAAAUAUAUCCUUGAAGAGUUAACUAAUGCUCCUAACAAUUUAUUUCCAUGUCCUUCAUUCACAUUAUGCACAACUCCAUGCUCAUUCACAUUAUGCAUAACUAUAUACAUAUGCCGAAGAGAAGAAACAACAACUUGAGCGAAAAAAUUUAGAUAUUAAAGUAAAUACUUAAAUUUAUAAAAAAAAAUAAACAAAAUCAUUUUAAUGCGUCUAUGAAAUAAAAAAGCAAUUUAAUUUUUUCUUACUAUUAUAUAUGUUGAUGCACAAAAUCAGCGAGGACUUUGGUACAACAGAAAGUGUUAAGUUUGUGACCUUCGUUAGAUUGCUCCGGACUAGUGUGGAUAAAUAAGUAAAUGGAUAGGGACAGGGAAGCAAACACAAGAUGUACGUGGUUCACCCAGAUUGGCUACGUCCACGGAGUAGAGGAGUUCUCAUUAAUUGUGAAGGGUUUACACAAGUACAUAGGUUCAAGCUCUCCUUUAGUGAGUACUAGUGAAUGAUUUAGUACAAAUGACAUUCGAAAAUAUUGUGAAAGAAUGAUCUCUAUUUAUAGAAGAGAGUUUCUAGUUUCAUUCUGACAUUGACUCGUGUCGUGUUGUGAUUGGCUUCUGAUGUUGACACGUGUUGCGCUAUGAUUGGCUUCUGAUGUCGACACGUGUCGCGCUGUGAUUGGCCUCCUAGUUGGAGGGAAACUCUUCUGGGUCCUUGACGGUAUAACAUUGACCGCUGCUCAGUAGUUUCGAGAUUGGUCAAGUAUGGUACAAACAAUAUAUUAUAUCAAAUUUUAUUAAAAAAAAAGUAUAUAAAAUAUUUGAUCUGGGACAAGGGCAUUUUAGUAAUCAUAUUAGUUUAUAUUCUGAUUAUGUUGAAUUAGUAAACUGUUUUAUGGAAUUCUAUUCCGAUUCCAGACAGUUUUAGUAACCAACUUUAACAAGAAUCUGAUUCUGAUUCUACCUCAUUUCAAUUCCUUCUCAAUCCAAUUCAUUCUCAAUUCAAUUCCUCUCAAUUUGAUUACGGAUUAGUAAACGCACCCUUAGUCUAUUUUGACAGCUAAUCGCAAAUGGAAACGGAAUUGCAAGCACACAUGUCAAUCACUCACAAGUCAUAGGAAAGGAAGAUCCCUUUCCACCUAAUCCAUUAAGUUUGGGAUCCGGACUGUUGAAAUGUUUAAAAGAGUUCCCUAUUUGUAGUCGUUGGAUCAAAUUUCAAUGACUUGAAUUCCGAACUUAAUGGAUUAGAUGGAAAAGAAUCCGUAGAUAAUCCUUUCCCAAGUCCUAACCUAGUACUGUGCUUUGGCGUAUUCUACGCCACUCAAUGUGCUUUCGUGUUCCUCAUCUUCCCAUAAAAGAAAACAAAAAGUAUACAUCCGAGAAAGAAGCACGCACACAGUGAGAGUUCAAGCAAAGCAAGAUUCCAGAAACCAUGUCGGCGAGAACCCACAUCUUAGUCUUUCCCUACCCUGCGCAAGGGCACAUGCUCCCUCUCCUCGACCUUACUCACCAGCUCCUCCUCCGCGGUAUCACCGUAACCGUCUUGGUCACCCCCAAAAACCUCCCUGCCCUAACUCCGCUCCUCUCAGCCAACCCCUCCCCCUCCCCCUUCGUCCAAACCCUAGUCCUCCCAUUCCCUCCUCACCCCAAAAUACCACCCGGUCUUGAGAACGUCAAGGAUAUUGGCCCCCGCGGCAAUCUCGCCGUUAUCGACGCCCUCACCAACCUCCACGACCCCAUCGUCCACUGGUUCAACUCCCACCCCAACCCCCCUACCGCCAUCAUCUCCGACUUCUUCCUCGGCUGGACCUUGCCCCUGGCCCGCCAGCUAGGUAUCCGCAGAAUCACCUUCUACUCUUCCGGUGCUUUCUUGGCAUCUAUUGCAGAUCACUGCUGGCGUAAUUUAGAUAUCAUCAAGUCAUCUCUAGCUGAAUUUCCCGAUGUUCCUCGAUCACCCUCGUUCAAAGCAGAGCAUUUGCCUUCCCUGCCCCGCCGCUACAGAGAAUCGGAGCCCGAGUCAGAGCGUAUGAGGAAUGCCAUGCUUGCCAAUACCGAAAGUUGGGGAUGCAUUUUCAAUAGCUUUCAUGAGUUGGAAGGAGAGUAUUUGCAACACUUGAAGACAAAAAUGGGCCACCCCCGUGUUUACGGAGUUGGCCCAUUGAGCCUACUUGCUUCCGCCGCUAAUGGUGGAAACUUGGAACGGGCCAACCCGAACACAGACACGAGGAAAGAUAACGUGCUCGCAUGGCUUGAUGGGUGCCCGGAGGGGUCUGUGCUGUAUGUUUGCUUUGGAAGUCAGACGUUGCUAAAUAAGCAGCAGAUGGAGGCCUUGGCUUCUGGGCUGGAACAGAGUGGAGCUCGGUUUGUGUGGGUUGUGAAAACGAGCUUGGCCGGGAAGGUGAAUGAUGGGUCCGGAGUCGUACCAGAUGGGUUUGAGGAAAGGGUUGCUGGGAGGGGAUUGCUGAUAAAGGGCUGGGCGCCGCAGGUGAUGAUCCUCGGCCACCGGGCGGUUGGAGGGUUUCUCAGCCACUGUGGGUGGAACUCUGUGCUGGAAGGGAUUGUGGGUGGGGUUUUGAUAUUGAGCUGGCCUAUGAAUGCUGACCAGUUUGUAAAUGCCAAGCUAUUGGUUGAGUACAUGGGCGUGGGCGUGAAGGUGUGUGAGGGUGCCGAUGGGGUACCUGACUCGGCCGAGUUGGGAAAGGCGAUUGCUGAGUCAAUAAGUGGGGAAUCACCGGAGAAGGUGAGAGCGAAGGAGCUGAGGGACAAGGCAGUUGCGGCUGUGGGAGAUGGUGGGAGCUCUUCAAAGGAUUUGGACGAGCUUGUGAAAGAGUUGGGUCAAAUUAAAGUGAGGUGAACAGACUAGCCCAUGAAAGAUCGAUUUUGGAGUGUCAAUAGCAGCUCCGUAAAACAAAUAGGAAUCGGGGAAUAAAGCAAUGGUUAUUUUCUAUUACCGUUUUAUAGAUUUCGUAUAAAAGUCCAGGGGAAUGUUCAACUUUUCCAGAAAUAAAUAUUAUUCGGAUCACACUGAAUGAAUUGAAUGGUAUAUUGUUCUUGCCUGUGAGGCAGGAGAGCAUGAUGAUAAAUUUACCUUAGAACUCAAGGAAGGAACUAGCUUCCCCUUGCUGGUUGUUGAUGGGGCAACAUGGUUAGCCGGUACUAAGUGAAAGCACCACAUGGUCUUCACCAAGAACAUCCUUGAUCCUAAGUUGUAAACUCUGCAAAGAGAGUAAACAAGUAAUUUGAGAAUUCUGCUGCAACAUGGUUGUGCCAGGAAAAUGAAAAUUAUGGAUAUAACUCGGGGUAGGGUGGACGACAACAUUACCUGAAAAUGGGAUGAGAGUUCGUUUAAGAGGAAGAAAACAAAGGAUUAAUCAGGACGGAAGCCAAAUUUGAUCAUCUCAGCAAGGAGUUCUGCUGCUGAAUGGAAAUCCCAUCAGAUAACUUCAUACAGAAAGAGUAUUUUGCUUC